ensembl:lincRNA
CGCGCACCUGCACCUGCACCUGCACCUGCACCGAGGGGACACCGUGGGGGCACCGCGCGCACGCACCUGCACCGCGCGCCCGGGUUCAGGACUUGAUGCAAUCCGGAUCAAACGUGGCUGAGCGCGUGUGGACACGGGACUGACGCAACACACGUGUAACUGUCUGUCAGCCGGGCCCUGAGUAAUCACUUAAAGAUGUUCCUGCGGGGUUGUUGCUGUUGAUGUUUUUGGUUUUUUGUUUUGUUUUGUUUUUUCCUUUUUGGUCUUAUUAUUUUUUUGUAUUAUAAAAAAGUUCUAUUUCUAUGAGAAAAGAGGCGUAUGUAUAUUUUGAGAACCUUUUCCGUUUCGAGCAUUAAAGUGAAGACAUUUUAAUAAACUUUUUUGGAGAAUGUUUAAAAGCCUUUUGGGGGCAGUAGUUGGCUUUUGAAAAAUUUUUUUUUCUUCCCUUCUGACUUUGGAUUUAUGCGAGAUUUUGUUUUUGUGUUUCUGGUGUGUAGGGGGCUGCGGUUAUUUUUGGGUUGUGUGUGGUGGUGGGUGGGGGUGUCGCAUCUGGGUUUUUCUCUUCCCCUGGCAGAUGGGGUGCCAGCCCCUCCCCCAGGAGAGGGAGCAGAGUGCUGGGUCAGGAAAUCAGGGUGACUCAGCACCCAUGGGUGCUGGGGACCUUGCUGGAAACCCUGCUUGGGACAGGGUUGGUUCUGGGUGUCAGGCUUGUGUUGGGGACCAGGCAGGCAGUGACUCUGUAGGAGGGGCUGGUCCAGACAGCCCCAGACAGGGCAGGUGCUUUGGUUGUGGGGAGAGUGCUGCUCCCCAGGCUCAUGGGCAGCCGUCAAAGCCUCUAGCUCUGCUGAGCUCCCGACUCACCCAGUCUCCACCCCACCCUCUGCCACAACAGGAGCAGCUGAGUGAAUCACCCAUGAGUCCUCUGGCCUCCAGCUGCUCUCUUGCUCCCACCCCAGCCCUCCUUCCAUUCUCUGUGUGCUCCAGACAGCCUGACGAAACAUGAACUGCAUCGUGACCCUCCUCUGCUGCCCAACCUCCCAUGGCUCCUACUGCCUCAGAGGAAAGAUUAAUCUUCCACCCUGCAGAUCCUGCAACAUAAACUGGGAGACUCCUCCUCCUCUUCCCUCUCUUGUUGCCCUCCCCUUCCCAUCAUGCUUUCCUGUCCCUUCACUCUCUUCCUAGUCUCCUCCUCACCUUGCUCCCUCUGUCCAGCUGAGGUUGCCUUGGUUCUUCCAACACACCCCACUCCUGCUUGCCCCAGGGCCUUUGCAUGACUUCCUCCUCCACUGACAUGCUUUUUUCUCUCCUCUGCAUCUAGCUGGGUCUCUGAUCAGGAGACCCUCGAGUGGCAGGUCCGCCCCAGACUCUUUCUUAGGUCCCUGGGCCCACCUCCACACUGCCAUCUAGGGUGGUUGCUAUGGGCUCUAGGUGGGGCCCCUGGGCUGGAGAAAUGCCUGUGAGAACAGGAGUCUCCUUAUCUGGGAGCAGGGAGGACAUCAGGGGGCAGGCGUUCACACUUGGACGUGCUCACAGGCAGAGAGCUCCUAGGAGUCCCCAAAGCCUGGCUGUAGCUGAGGCACUAUCCCGUCAGCACUGCCUGUGCCCCCCCCCCCCAAUUCUCCCCAAAGCAGGUCCUCAGCGAACUGCAUCCCACCCAGUCCUGCCUUAGGCAACUCUGCUCCAGCAACCUGAACAGAGCCCCCUCCCCCAUUGGAGGUGGGGCUUUCUGGGUGCUCCCCACCUUCUGAUUUAGGACUUGUAGCCCUCUUUAUGGACCCCCACCCCGGCCUAGAAGACUACUUAUUCAAAGUUUGACCCUCAGCCUAGGAUGCAUGGCAGGGAUCCUGCUAACUGUGUUUCUGGUGUGUUCCCGGUACACACCACAAGGCUUGGCAUGCACUGUCUGUUCAAUAAAUGUUUGUUGAAUGGCUAAAUAAAUAAGCAGCUGGGUGAGCUGGAGAUUGGGAACUGGACAUGAGCAAGGCCGCUGGUUCUACCCAUCUGCAUCUACGCCCAUUUCUUCAUGCUGCCAUGAUAGCUGCCAGAGCACCUGCCCUCUCUUCCACUUGCAGCCAAGGCCAAGGCAGGAAAAGGUUCUUACAUAUCCACUUGAGAGUGGAGAAGUCAUUCCCAGGGGAUGCCGGGGCUCUGGGUAGAACUGUUCAUCUGACUGGACACCCCUGCACUCUGGGUCUAGCCUUAGCUUAUCUGAAGGGUGAGGAGAGGGUCACGUUUAGCUUAGGGAAAUCAUUG